GGGCUUCGUGUAGGUAUCCUCAAUUCGCGGAAAUUCGACAAUUGUCCGGAUCUGUGAAUUUCCGGCCAGACAGACCAGCUACCGGAAAAGUCUCUGAAUUGGAUCGAGGUUUUGGCUACCCCACCAUUGUCAUGCAUCCCGAGCGCGUUCCCGAAGUCGAAAUCGGCAAAGGUGAGCCGGGACAGCCUUCUUCCUCCGCCCAGCCGCCACAGUGAUUGUCGUCAAGUGUGCUACAGGAGGAUUUUAUUUUGGUUAACCUGCUUUUCUCCUUCGCAGGUUAUUUAUCAAUAUUUGUGUAAUUUUAUUUACUCCUAGAAUUUCCGCAUGUGUUAGAAGUAUUUAUUUGAUUAUGGUCUGUAAUAUUAUUAUCAUGUUGGACCUGUAAACGUAUAAUGAUAUGCAUGUUUGAUGGAUUGGAUGAGGGAGCUGAGCUCCCAUUUAUUUUUAUGAGGAUAUGAG